rnacentral:rRNA from 1 species
AUGAUGGCUUCAUCCCUCGUGUCUGACACGUGCCUCCGGUCCUUCCUCUUGGCCGACUCUCUUGCCCGUUGUUCGGGCGUCGGCGCCUUCUUCGGCUUGGGCGUGGCGGUCUUGCGGGGGGCGCGAGGCUUGGCUUUGCCGGAGGGGACGGUCGGCAUGCCGGACGAGGCGAGGGAGGCGAGGCCGACGGCGGCGGCGUGGUCAUCGUCCAUGGCACCACAGGAGGAGGCCGGCCAUGGCGACACCGGAUCUGGCAUCUCCGGGGUCCUCUACAAGUGGGUCAACUACGGCCGCGGGUGGCGGCCCCGCUGGUUCGCGCUCAGCGACGGCGUGCUCUCCUACUACAAGAUCCACGGGCCCGACCGCAUCGACCUCUCCCGCGACACCGACCGCGGCGCCAAGGUCAUCGGCGAGGACUCGCUCCGCCGCCUCGCGCGCCCCUCCUUCGCCUCCGCCCCCCACUCCAACGGCCACGGCCACCACCAGACGCCCCGCAAGCCCCUCGGCGAAAUCCACCUCAAGGUGUCGACCGUCAGAGAGAGAAGAUCGGACGACAGGAGGUUCUCCAUCUUCUCGGGGACCAAGAGGCUGCACCUGCGGGCCGAGACGAGGGAGGACAGGGCCGCGUGGCUCGAGGCGCUCCGUGCCACCAAGGAGAUGUUCCCGAGGAUGUCCACCAGCGAGAUGGUCGGGUCGGGGGACACUGCGGCGGCCGCGGCGGUCUCCACCGAGCGCCUGAAGAAGCGCCUGCAGCAGGAAGGGGUCAGCGAUGCUGCCAUUGCUGACAGCGAGAGGAUCGUGCGGGAGGAGUUCGAAGCGCUGCACAAGCAGCUUGUGCUUCUCAAGCAGAAGCAGGCGCUAUCCUUGACACGCUCCGCCACCUAG